GAUUCAGCGAAACAACCUCAAAACCAGUCUCCAAUGAGAGGCAGGAAGAACCAAACCCUCAAACAUCAGUGAUCCUGUGAGGUUUGGAACCUUGUGGAACUUUCCUUAAAAUAACUGCAUCAGGAGAUUGUCCAGUUGGGGGUAGAAGAAGAGGAAGACCUGAAAGCAGAGUCUUGGGGCUCCUGAAGGAUUCAGAUGUGGAAACCGAGGCAUGGCCGGGUUGCAAACCCAGUCUGUCUGCAUACUGUUAGUCAUGUGCUACUGCCUCAGGGAUCUAGUUCCUCAAGAGGAUAGCUGGAGUCACCAGUGGCUGGGAGACUGAGAGGUCCCCAAGAGGCUACUGGAAGAUUCUGUCCCAGGUGGAACCUGUUACUUGCCCAGGUGAGGAAAGCCCAGGGUCUGAAACAGAGGGGAAGGAAGCAAAUGCACCUGAAAGUGGGAAAAAGAACAAGGCAUAGGAAAGGAGGUUCAAGCAGUAGGAGCAGAAUCUGAAGGAAGGAGACAGUCACUGCUGAGGGUCUGAUUAUUGAUGCCUCUAAAAUUUGGUGUAUAAGAGCCGGUUCUUGAUCAGCUUUCCUGGUGCAUUGACAGAGACAAAGAUCAAGUUCGGAAAUGGAAUCUGUCCUUAAGCACUCACAGCUCCCCAGGUGGGACCCACAGCAGAUGAUGCUCAUUUCCCAGGGGGUUAGCACUACUUCCCAGAGCUUCCAUUACACCCUCAGUUAAGAGCCAGGCCAAGGCAGUGCUGAGAAAGCAAGUCUGGGAGAGAAGUACCUCAUCGCCCCACCGUUGCUGGAGACAGAGGAAUGGGCAACCUGCUCUCAAAUGAUAGGAAAUGAACAGAACCACAGCUGAAGGCAGCUUGGUGCCUGAAAGAACUUUGAGCUGGAGUGCAGGAGGACCUGGUUCAAGCCCUGGUCCCAGUUCUGGCUUCACAUGACCUUGUACUCACUCCUGACCUUGAGGAAGUCAUGUCUUAUCUCUGGGCCCUGGUUUACCCCACUGUGGAAUUAGAGGCAUGACAAAGAUAACAUCUGUUUCUUCUGUUUCUUUCACUUAAAAACUCAAUGAAAUGUUUACAUCACGAUUGGAGAGUCCAGUGAGACUGAAGGUGGCCACCCCGGAAGGCCCAGGUUCACCUGCUGCGUAAACACUGAAUGGAGAUCGGUCAUGGUAGAGCAAUGGCAGGAAUUCCAGCCUUGGGAACAACUCCUGGCACAUAGUGGACCCUCAGCAAUAACCUGCUGAAUGGAUGUGAUAUUCCAAAAACUCUGCAAAGUCCUUAUUAUCCUCUUCUUUUAUGGAUAAGGAAGCUGAUGCUCCAAGAAGUGGAAUCACUCUCAAGCUCCCACAGUGAAUGAGAGCCAAGAUUUUAAUCUUUGCUGCUCAUAAGGUCAUGCAGAGUAUGUCAUAUAGCCAGCCUCAUCCUUAUGCAAUGCUGUUUUAUAAAGUUAUCUGGUUUUGUCCUGGGUUCCCUUCUCAGCCUCCCUGGGGCUCUCCACACUUUUGUCCUGCCACUGAGAAUCAAAUGUCUUGAUCUUUUUCCCCAAGUGCCCAGUCCAUGUCUUUCAGAUAUGCUUUAAUUAAUCCUUCCUCAAACAAUGAUCAGUCCUUUGUACCCUUCAUUCAGAGGUCACUCUAGCUAUGUGUCUAUGAGUAAUAAUAGAUACCAGCUGAAUGAUGCAUCAACUGGGUUAUGCUCCUAGAUUACAGAAUUAAAUACACUUAUACUAAGAUAUAAGCUUUAUGAAUGCAAUUCUUUUUAAAGAUUUUUUAUUUUUAAGUA